rnacentral:tRNA from 1 species
GGGUAUAGUUCAAUGGUAGAGCAGCGGUCUCCAAAACCGUAGAUGUGAGUUCGAAUCUUACUACCC